rnacentral:lncRNA from 1 species
CCUAUUGCAGCAAAAUAGGAUAUCUUACUGCUGUAUAUCUUGCUUCAUAGAAAAUGUUAAUAGACUCUCUAUUAAUAACUGGUUCAUUUUAAAAAUAGUCUUUGUGACUAUUUCAUCGAUGUUGCUCAUAAUUUUUUCUCAAUAUUACUUAUAUGACUUAUAUAUUUUUUUUAAUAUACUAUAAAAUGGAUUGUGCAAUCCUUACUGUGCAUCAUAGUGGGA